GAUAAACGCUGGCGGCGUGCCUAACACAUGCAAGUCGAACGCCCUUGAGCAAUCAAGGGAGUGGCGGACGGGUGAGUAACACGUGGGUCAUCUACCCAAAGGUGAGGGAUACCGGCGAGAAAUCGCCGACAAUACCGCAUACGCUCGUAAGAGCAAAGUCGCAAGACGCCAUUGGAUGAGCCUGCGCCCGAUUAGUUCGUUGGUGGGGUAAAAGCCUACCAAGACCGCGAUCGGUAGCUGGUCUGAGAGGACGAUCAGCCACACUGGGAUUGAGAAC
rnacentral:rRNA from 1 species